UACAGAGGGUGCAAGCGUUAAUCGGAAUUACCGGGCGUAAAGCGCGCGUAGGCGGACCUGCAAGUCGGGGGUGAAAGCCCGAGGCUCAACCUCGGAACUGCCUUCGAUACUGCGGGUCUCGAGUCCGGAAGAGGAGUGUGGAAUUCCCGGUGUAGCGGUGAAAUGCGCAGAUAUCGGGAAGAACACCCGUGGCGAAGGCGGCACUCUGGGACGGUACUGACGCUGAGACGCGAAAGCGUGGGGAGCGAACAGG
rnacentral:rRNA from 1 species